rnacentral:rRNA from 1 species
GCUACCAUGCAGUCGAGCGGGGGAAGGUAGCUUGCUACUGGACCUAGCGGCGGACGGGUGAGUAAUGCUUAGGAAUCUGCCUAUUAGUGGGGGACAACAUCUCGAAAGGGAUGCUAAUACCGCAUACGUCCUACGGGAGAAAGCAGGGGAUCUUCGGACCUUGCGCUAAUAGAUGAGCCUAAGUCGGAUUAGCUAGUUGGUGGGGUAAAGGCCUACCAAGGCGACUAUCUGUAGCGGGUCUGAGAGGAUGAUCCGCCACACUGGGACUGAGACACGGCCCAGACUCCUACGGGAGGCAGCAGUGGGGAAUAUUGGACAAUGGGGGGAACCCUGAUCCAGCCGUGCCGCGUGUGUGAAGAAGGCCUUAUGGUUGUAAAGCACUUUAAGCGAGGAGGAGGCUACUUUAGUUAAUACCUAGAGAUAGUGGACGUUACUCGCAGAAUAAGCACCGGCUAACUCUGUGCCAGCAGCCGCGGUAAUACAGAGGGUGCGAGCGUUAAUCGGAUUUACUGGGCGUAAAGCGUGCGUAGGCGGCUUAUUAAGUCGGAUGUGAAAUCCCCGAGCUUAACUUGGGAAUUGCAUUCGAUACUGGUGAGCUAGAGUAUGGGAGAGGAUGGUAGAAUUCCGGGUGUAGCGGUGAAAUGCGUAGAGAUCUGGAGGAAUACCGAUGGCGAAGGCCGCCAUCUGGCCUAAUACUGACGCUGAGGUACGAAAGCAUGGGGAGCACACAGGAUUAGAUACCCUGGUAGUCCAUGCCGUACACGAUGUCUACUAGCCUUUGGGGCCUUUGAGGCUUUAGUGGCGCAUCUAACGCGAUAAGUAGACCGCCGGGGGAGUACGGUCGCAAGACUAACACUCAUAUGAAUUGACGGGCGCCCGCACAAGCGGUGGAGCAUGUGGUUUAAUUCGAUGCAACGCGGAGAAACUUACCUGGCCGUGACAUACUAGAAACUUUCCAGAGAUGGAUUGGUGCCCUCGGGAAUCUAGAUACGGGUGCUGCAGGGGUUUCUCCGCUCGUGUCCGGGAAUGUUGGGUUAAUCCCGCACCAGGGGCACCCUUUUUCUUCUUUGCCGCCUUUUUGAGGGGAAUUUUAGGAAACCGCCGCCGACAAACGGAGGAAGGGGGGGG